GGCUGGUCUGAUGGUAGUGGGUUAUCAGAGCUCAUUAACAUUAGUGUUACUAAAGUCGGUAUGCAACGCUCACUGCUAAAUUUCACUAGCUAAAA
rnacentral:Y_RNA from 1 species